rnacentral:rRNA from 1 species
AGUCACUGACAUUAGACUACCCCCGUAGUCCAGGGUGUAAACGCUGCAGACUGGGUGUUGGAGGCCCUUUGGGGGCAUUCAGUGCCGGAGAGAAGUUGUUAAGUCUGCUACUUGGGGAGUACGUCCGCAAGGAUGAAACUUAAAGGAAUUGGCGGGGGAGCACCGCAACGGGAGGAGCGUGCGGUUUAAUUGGAUUCAACACCGUAAAACUCACCAGGGAAGACUGUUACAUGAAGGCCGAGAUGAAGACUCUGCUAGAUUUUCAG